GCCCUAAUGGCGGAAUUGGUAGACGCGCUAGUUUCAGGGACUAGUGGGAGCAAUCCCGUGCAGGUUCGAGUCAUGUUUGGGGCA
rnacentral:tRNA from 1 species